CUACGGGCGGCUGCAGUGGGGAAUAUUGCACAAUGGGCGCAAGCCUGAUGCAGCCAUGCCGCGUGUAUGAAGAAGGCCUUCGGGUUGUAAAGUACUUUCAGCGGGGAGGAAGGGAGUAAAGUUAAUACCUUUGCUCAUUGACGUUACCCGCAGAAGAAGCACCGGCUAACUCCGUGCCAGCAGCCGCGGUAAUACGGAGGGUGCAAGCGUUAAUCGGAAUUACUGGGCGUAAAGCGCACGCAGGCGGUUUGUUAAGUCAGAUGUGAAAUCCCCGGGCUCAACCUGGGAACUGCAUCUGAUACUGGCAAGCUUGAGUCUCGUAGAGGGGGGUAGAAUUCCAGGUGUAGCGGUGAAAUGCGUAGAGAUCUGGAGGAAUACCGGUGGCGAAGGCGGCCCCCUGGACGAAGACUGACGCUCAGGUGCGAAAGCGUGGGGGGCAAACAGGAUUAGAUACCCGCGUAAUC
rnacentral:rRNA from 1 species